GAGUUUGAUCAUGGCUCAGGACGAACGCUGGCGGCGUGCUUAAUACAUGCAAGUCAACUUGACUUUAGGUAGCAAUACUGAAAAGUAGGGUGGCGCACGGGUGCGUAACGCGUAGGUAAUCUGCCCUGAGGUCUGACAUAACCCGUCGAAAGGCGGGCUAACAUCAGAUGAUAUAUAAUCACGACAUCGUGGAAAUAUCAAAUCUUCGGAGCCUUGGGAUGAGCCUGCGUCUGAUUAGGUAGUUGGCGGAGUAAUAGCCCACCAAGCCUACGAUCAGUAGCUGGUCUGAGAGGAUGAUCAGCCACACUGGAACUGAGACACGGUCCAGACUCCUACGGGAGGCAGCAGUAAGGAAUAUUGCUCAAUGGGGGAAACCCUGAAGCAGCAACGCCGCGUGAAGGAUGAAAUACUUUUGUAUGUAAACUUCUGUAAGAUGGGAAAAAUACUCUCCUCGGGAGAGUUGAUUGUACCGUCAGAGUAAGCCCCGGCUAACUACGUGCCAGCCGCCG
rnacentral:rRNA from 1 species